rnacentral:lncRNA from 1 species
GGAGAAAGCAGAAUGCCCGGCAAAUGACAGCUGCUGGCCCCAGACAGGGCCAGAGAGAGGAGUUUUACAAGGUGCCACCUCAGAAAGGCACCUGUCAAUCCAAGCCUGCAGUGGCCAGAGGGGUGGCAGGGCAAGGGCAGUCCAGGAUACAAUGAAUGGGACUGCCUACAGUGAAGAUGAGCAGAGAACCGUCCCACAUCAGCUAAUACAUCAAGACUGUCCCUCCCAGGCAUGACCAAAGGCUUGUCCUCCAAUGACUCUGACUUGUGUGAAGUUGACAAAUCAGCAGCAGCAGCAGCAGCAGCAGCAGCAUCACCUAACCAGGACAUCCACACCGACCCACUGCUCCUCUUUAAAGGCCACCUGUACUUCACUGGAGAGCUGUCAGCUAAGAGCUGUCCUGUGAGGGGUCUUACAGUCAGGGAUCCCUGAAGCACCACCCCGAGCCCAGGAAAGAAAGUCCCUCAUUGCAGAUCUCUGACCCUGCUCCAGUCAUGGCAAGGUUGAGGGAGGCAGGUAGAGCAAGACACUUCUCCAUCUUCAUAAGACCAAGGAGUGCCCUUCCAUGGCCAGUUGCCUAGUCAGGACUCAUCUGCUCCUCACCACAGCCUGUGACGUCAAUAGCCUGACUAUUGUCUAUACUCGACAGAUGGGGAAACUGAGGCCGACAUCAUCAUCAAUGUGGUAUUGAAGCUGACAGUAGCACUAAAACUUUCAAGACUCCAUAACAAACAUUCUACAUCAGAAUGAGAAUGUGGUGGCCCAUCUCCGGUAGAUAGGUACCCCUGGUGUCCCUGUGUCCCCCAACAGGCAGACCAUUCCAGAGAAGGCUAAUGUGAUUGAUGACCAGGAAGGAGCAGAGCUAUCCUUCUAGAGAAGGCUCAGAAUUUAGCCUAAGUGACAGUGUGGCCACUGACAAGCAGAACAAAGUUGGACAAGCAGCUUAGCAUUGAAUGUACAUGUGCACAGAGAGGGAGGGUGAGGGAGGGAGGGAGAGAGAGGGAGAGAGAGAGAGAGAGAGAGAGAGAACACAUGCACACGCAGCCCCCUCCACCGGCGCUCUCAAGUGCCCUGUGUGAGUGAGUGGGUGGAUAGUGGGAGCCGUGAAGCCGCUUCCCGGAGACAAUCUCUGCAGCUCACUCGGAGCCCCCUUCUUGGCUGGGUGUCAACCCCAGCCUUAUGCACAGGCAGCUGCCUCUAGGGAAUGAUUUAAAGGGCUCCAAGAAGCAGUCCACCCGUUGAAAAUGGCCCCCAUCCCUGGCCAGCAUGCUCACCUACCUGCCACGGGCCUUUCUAAAAGCGUGCUGAGAUCCUGAAGCCAAGGAGACUGCCCACCGUGGACUCCGAGUCCUGGCACUGCACUGAGGGACCCCCCACAGCCUUCAUUGUGUCUGCCCAACACCCACUCUGCCUCCCCACCCCUCAACGGGUUCAAUCUGUAGCUCAGGAUCCUCUUGGUUAUAAUGGGGGAUCCCAGGCCCAGAGAGUGGUGAGGCCAUUCAGGCCUCUAGUGGGUAGGAGCAGAGUUUGUGCUCCCACCUAGGGACCUGGGUCACUUCACUUUCCCAUCAUAGUAUAAAGUCCAAAAAUCAGACCAUCCCAAGACUAGGCCAUCUGCAAAAACAGAGUGGAAACCCAGGUGUAGGGACUAAGGAGGAAGAGGGAGAUGAGGGGGACGAGAGGGGGGAGUGGUGGGCACUCGCAUGAGGGUUGGGGGUCAGUCCUAAGGAAGUCUGUAGAUGUCACAGUUCAGCCAUCUGAAGCUGACCUAGAAGCUGAGGUGCUCAUCUGCAGCUGGAGUCUCAUCACUUAGGAGGCUAAGGCAGGAGUCUCCCCAGUUCAAGCUCAGCCUGCACGGUGAGCCUGUCUCAAAACCAAAAACUCAGGAAAAAAAAAAAAAGCAAAGCAGCAGGGGGUGGUGGCACCGGACAGGUACAAGGGACAUGGAGACAAGUGGGACUGGGGUGCAUGGAGCAUGGAAAUCACAAAGAGCCAAUAAAAAGUUAAAACAAAUUAAGUAGUUAAUUAAAGAGAAGUGGAGGCAGGAGGAUCAGAAACUGACGGUCGUUCUUUAUACUUUGUAAGUUUGAGGUCAGCCUGAGCAACCUGUGACCUGGCCUUAACCUUCCUCCAGCUUUUCCCCUGAAGAAGAGGUUCUGGAAGGGAAAUGGGGAGCCGUGUUCUGGUUAAAGAACUCCGAGGCCUCUAGUGACUCUUCUCAGUGACUACUUCUAAUCAUCAGGGUACUCCAUAAGGACAUCCAACCAGGGUCUCUAUUUUCAGAUAUUCUCUCUAUUCUCAUGAGGAAGUUGAAGCACAGAGCAGGUAAGUAACUUGAUCAAGGUCACACAGCUGGCAAAUAACAGAAUCUGGAUUCCCAGUCAAGUCCCUGACCCCAGAAAUCUUUUUUUCCCCACACUCUGGGUGGUGUGUGUGUGUGUGUGUGUGUGUGUGUGUGUGUGUGUGUGUGUGGUAUGUGUGUGUGUCUGUGUGUCUGUGUCUGUGGGCAAAGUGUCUCAGUAUACUCUGUCUUGAACUCUUGUACAUGGUCAAAGCCUUUUAAAAUAGGUUGCUAAAACCAAAUCAAAGAUCUCGUUCUCCUUUUAAAAUUUU